AGUGAACGCUGGCGGUAGGCCUAACACAUGCAAGUCGAACGGCAGCACAGGAGAGCUUGCUCUCUGGGUGGCGAGUGGCGGACGGGUGAGGAAUACAUCGGAAUCUACCUUUUCGUGGGGGAUAACGUAGGGAAACUUACGCUAAUACCGCAUACGACCUACGGGUGAAAGUGGGGGACCGCAAGGCCGCACGCGGUUAGAUGAGUCGAUGUCCGGUUAGCUAGUUGGCGGGGUAAUGGCCCACCAAGGCGACGAUCGGUAGCUAGUCUGAGAGGAUGAUCAGCCACACUGGAACUGAGACACGGUCCAGACUCCUACGGGAGGCAGCAGUGGGGAAUAUUGGACAAUGGGCGCAAGCCUGACCCAGCCAUACCGCGUGGGUGAAGAAGGCCUUCGGGUUGUAAAGCCCUUUUGUUGGGAAAGAAAUCCUGUCGAUUAAUACUCGGUGGGGAUGACGGUACCCAAAGAAUAAGCACCGGCUAACUUCGUGCCAGCAGCCGCCGCGGUAA
rnacentral:rRNA from 1 species